rnacentral:rRNA from 1 species
GACGGAGGAUGCAAGUGUUAUCCGGAAUCACUGGGCGUAAAGCGUCUGUAGGUGGUUUAAUAAGUCAACUGUUAAAUCUUGAUGGCUCAACUUCAAGAUCGCAGUCGAAACUAUUAGACUAGAGUAUAGUAGAGGUAAAGGGAAUUUCCAGUGGAGCGGUGAAAUGCGUAGAUAUUGGAAAGAACACCGAUGGCGAAAGCACUUUACUGGGCUAUUACUAACACUCAGAGACGAAAGCUAGGGUAGCAAAUGGG